AGUGAACGCUGGCGGUAGGCCUAACACAUGCAAGUCGAACGGCAGCACAGUAAGAGCUUGCUCUUACGGGUGGCGAGUGGCGGACGGGUGAGGAAUACAUCGGAAUCUACUUUUUCGUGGGGGAUAACGUAGGGAAACUUACGCUAAUACCGCAUACGACCUACGGUUGAAAGCAGGGGAUCUUCGGACCUUGCGCGAUUGAAUGAGCCGAUGUCGGAUUAGCUAGUUGGCGGGGUAAAGGCCCACCAAGGCGACGAUCCGUAGCUGGUCUGAGAGGAUGAUCAGCAACACUGGAACUGAGACACGGUCCAGACUCCUACGGGAGGCAGCAGUGGGGAAUAUUGGACAAUGGGCGCAAGCCUGAUCCAGCCAUACCGCGUGGGUGAAGAAGGCCUUCGGGUUGUAAAGCCCUUUUGUUGGGAAAGAAAAGCAGAAGGUUAAUACCCCGCUGUUCUGACGGUACAAAAAGAAUAAGCACCGGCUAACUUCGUG
rnacentral:rRNA from 1 species